rnacentral:lncRNA from 1 species
GGAAAUGGAAAAGUGUGGGGUUACUCUAUCCAUUAAUGAGAAUAAAAGUUAUUUAUUGACCGCUUCAUGUAACCUUAGGUUCAACAUUUAAAUCUUUGCAAGAGGUAAGAUUGUACAGUUGUGUUUGAGUUUAUUUAUUUUAUUUUAUUUAAAUAAAUUAUAUUAAAUUUACAUUAUUUAAUAAUUUUAUUAUAGUUAAAUAAAUUUGAAGUAUUUAUAAAAUUUUAGUUUUAAUUUUUGUUGAAAUGAAAUAUUUUAAAAAUUUUCAAUAAAUUUUACAAAUUUUGUUAAAAUAAAAUAUUUUUUAUUAUAGUUAAAUAUUUAUAAGAACGAAAAAAUUUAUUUAACUAUUAUUUUUUUCUCAUAUAAAAAUUAUUAGUUAUAGAAAACAAAUUAAUUAUAUACAUAUUACAAAAUUCAUAAUUGAAUUGAAAAUAUAUAUCUUAUAAAUUAUUUUUGUAAAUUUUUACAAAAAUUUAAAAUUAUUUUUAUGCUAUUAAUAUAUAUCAAAGUUAUAAUUUUAUAUUUACCACAAUGAUAUACCUCAACAGUAGUUUUAAUAUACCUCAAUGAUAUAUUAAAAUAUUUUAUAUUUACAUUAAAAUUUAUAGACUUUAUCUACAUAAUUUAACACUUAUCAAUCGAGUUAGUAUAAUAUGAGAGGUAAAAAGUUUAGAUUUACAUAAAUAUGUCAUCACGAGUUUAAUCUACAUGUAUAUGUGAAAAUUUAAUAUUUGACAACACAAUUUAUAUUUUGAGGACCAAAGUUAAUAAUUAGUAGAUGAGGAUAAGGAAAUUGAUUUGGUUGAAGGAGGGGGCAUUUCUCAUGAGUCAUGUUACACUCCCAAUCCAACUUGUAUUCUUUUUUUUUUUUUUUUUUCACAUAUUUUUUUAAUUUUUUUUUACAAAAUGAUAAUUUUCAUAAAAAGAGAUAAAUAAAAAAUAGACUAGAAGAAUAUGGAAGUGAUUAAUUUCUGAAAGUAAGUACAAGAAAUUUACGAGUAUUAUUUUUUUAGAGACCAGAAGUAAUAAUUAUUUUAUUUUAGAAUCAAAAAAAAUAUUUUUUUUAGUGACAAAUGUCACAAAUAAAGAUACCGAUAUUCUUUUAAAGGAUUAAUAUCUUUUAGUAAAUAUUUAAUUAAAGAUCAAACUCAUAAUCAUAUAUUUAAAGAUUCAGUUAUGUAUCAACUCUAUUAUACUAUACUAGUGGAUUAAAAACUAAUUUGAGCAUACUUAAUAAUUUAUUUUAUGUAACGUUUAAUCUCUUUAACAAUUUAUUAUCUCUUCUAAUGUUAGUAUAUCGCAAAAUCAAAGUAACUAUUGAUUAAGGGAAAAGGGAUAUGCAAUAAAUUCUAAAUUAAUUUUAUAUUGACAUUCAAUAUAAAUUUAUUAUUUUACAUUUAUUUUUAUUUUUAAAUUACCGUUACAUGAUAAAGAUACUGAGUUAUAUCAGUGUAAAAUUAAUUUAAAUCUAUAUAAUGUGACAAAAUAUUAUGAUUUAUGUCUAUGUAAAACUGAUUUAGACCUAUUAUGCAUCUUGUUAAUCUCAUUCUUAUCUAUUGCUUCAAUUUCAAAGACAUGGAGUGUUUGCUUCAACAUUCAAUCACAUCUUGUUCUCUUUUCUCUCACAAGCAAAGCAAAAGGAUAACAAAUACUACUCCUCACAUCAAUUAUCCUACGCAACAUAAAUAUAAUUAAGGGUGUUUUAGUUAAUUAAAUUUAGGUUGUCCUUAAAUUAAAUGAAAAAAAAAAUAUCUAUA